AACAGGAUUAGAUACCGUGGUAGUCCACGCCGUAAAUCGAUGUCGACUAAGAGGUUGUGCCCUUGAGGCGUGGCUUCCGGAGCUAACGCGUUAAGUCGACCGUGUGGGGAGUACGGCCGCAAGGUUAAAACUCAGAUGAAUUGACGGGGGUCCGCUCAAGCGGUGGAGCAGGUGGUUUAAUUAGAUGCAACGGGAAGAACCUUCAAUGGUCUUUACAUCCACAGAACUUUCCUGAGAUGGAUUGGUGCAUUUGGGAACUGUGAGACAGGUGCUGCAUGGCAGUCGUCAGCUCGUGUUGUGAAAUGCCGGGUUAAGUCCCGCAACGAGCGCAACCCUUAUCCUUUGUCGCCAGCGGUCUGGCCGGGAACUCAAAGGAGACUGCCAGUGAUAAAGUGGAGGAAGGUGGGGAGGACGUCAAGUCAUCAUGGCCCUUACGACCAGGGGUACACACGUGCUACAAUGGCGCAUACAAAGAGAAGCGACCUGCAGCGAGCAAGCUGACGUCAUAAAGUGCGUCGUAGUCCGGAGGGAGUCUGCAACUCGACUCCAUGAAGUCGGAAUCGCUAGUAAUCGUGGAUCAGAAUGCCACGGUGAAUACGUUCCCGGGCCUUGUACACACCGCCCGCCACACCAUGGGAGUGGGUUGCAAAUGAAGUAGGUAGCUUAACCUUGGGGAGGGCGCUUACCAGACAGUGAUUCAUGAGUGGGGUGAAGUGGUAUCAAGGUAACC
rnacentral:rRNA from 1 species